rnacentral:rRNA from 1 species
UUGGACAAUGGAGGCAACUCUGAUCCAGCCAUGCCGCGUGAAGGAAUAAGGCCCUAUGGGUUGUAAACUUCUUUUAGACGGGACAAAACCCCUUUACGUGUAAAGGGUUGAUGGUACUGUCAGAAUAAGCAUCGGCUAACUUCGUGCCAGCAGCCGCGGUAAUACGAAGGAUGCAAGCGUUAUCCGGAAUUAUUGGGUUUAAAGGGUGCGUAGGCGGACUAAUAAGUCAGUGGUGAAAGCCUGCAGCUUAACUGCAGAAUUGCCAUUGAUACUGUUAGUCGUGAGUACAGUUGAGGUAGGCGGAAUGUGUCAUGUAGCGGUGAAAUGCUUAGAUAUGACACAGAACACCGAUUCCGAAGGCAGCUUGCUAAGCUGUAACUGACGCUGAGGCACGAAAGCGUGGGGAGCAAACA